UACGUAGGGUGCGAGCGUUAAUCGGAAUUACUGGGCGUAAAGCGUGCGCAGGCGGUGAUGUAAGACAGUUGUGAAAUCCCCGGGCUCAACCUGGGAACUGCAUCUGUGACUGCAUUGCUGGAGUGCGGCAGAGGGGGAUGGAAUUCCGCGUGUAGCAGUGAAAUGCGUAGAUAUGCGGAGGAACACCGAUGGCGAAGGCAAUCCCCUGGGCCUGCACUGACGCUCAUGCACGAAAGCGUGGGGAGCAAAAGGG
rnacentral:rRNA from 1 species